rnacentral:rRNA from 1 species
UACGGAGGAUCCAAGCGUUAUCCGGAUUUAUUGGGUUUAAAGGGUGCGUAGGCGGGUUAUUAAGUCAGUGGUGAAAGCCUGCAGCUUAACUGCAGAAUUGCCAUUGAUACUGAUGAUCUUGAGUACAGUUGAGGUGGGCGGAAUGUGUCAUGUAGCGGUGAAAUGCUUAGAUAUGACACAGAACACCGAUUGCGAAGGCAGCUCGCUAAGCUGUAACUGACGCUGAGGCACGAAGGCGUGGGGAUCAAACAGG